UACGGGCGCAAUCUUCCGCAAUGGACGAAAGUCUGACGGAGCAACGCCGCGUGAGUGAAGAAGGUUUUCGGAUCGUAAAACUCUGUUGUGAGGGAAGAACAAGUACCAACUAACUACUGGUACCUUGACGGUACCUCACCAGAAAGCCACGGCUAACUACGUGCCAGCAGCCGCGGUAA
rnacentral:rRNA from 1 species